rnacentral:rRNA from 1 species
CCUACGGGUGGCAGCAGUGAGGAAUAUUGGUCAAUGGGCGCGAGCCUGAACCAGCCAAGUAGCGUGAAGGAAGACGGCCCUACGGGUUGUAAACUUCUUUUAUAAAGGAAUAAAGUGAGGCACGUGUGCCUUUUUGUAUGUACUUUAUGAAUAAGGAUCGGCUAACUCCGUGCCAGCAGCCGCGGUAAUACGGAGGAUCCGAGCGUUAUCCGGAUUUAGUGGGGUUAAAGGGAGCGGAGAUGGGUUGUUAAGUCAGUUGUGAAAGUUUGCGGCUCAACCGUUAAAUUGCAAUUGAUACUGGCGGUCUUGAGUACAGGUGAGGUAGGCGGAAUUCGUGGUGUAGCGGUGAAAUGCGUAGAUAUCACGAGGAACACCGAUUGCGAAGGCAGCUUACUAAACUGCCACUGACAUUGAUGCUCGAAAGUGUGGGUAUCAAACAGGAUUAGAUACCCCAGUAGUC